rnacentral:rRNA from 1 species
AUACGGAGGGUCCAAGCGUUAUCCGGAUUCAUUGGGUUUAAAGGGUCCGCAGGCGGGAAAAUAAGUCAGUGGUGAAAGCCUACAGCUCUACUGUAGAACUGCCAUUGAUACUGUUUUUCUUGAGUAUAGAUGAAGUGGGCGGAAUAUAUCAUGUAGCGGUGAAAUGCAUAGAUAUGAUAUAGAACACCGAUUGCGAAGGCAGCUCACUAAACUAUUACUGACGCUCAGGGACGAAAGCGUGGGGAGCGAACAGGAUUAGAAACCCGAGUAGUCC